CCCUCUCUAACUUAAGCAUCGGAGGGUCCUCAUCGAACAUAAAUCCGGUCAGUGCGGACGUUAUCUUGCAGGUAUUCAUUUUCGAUGACAGGCGAUGGAGAGUUGGCCGCAAUAAGAAGUAUUUCUAUACUGUUCUGAAUAUAAAAACCAUGCAAUUAGAAAAUCUCAAAAGGUACACAGGUUACUCUUUGGCACAGUUUCAUUCUAGGCACAUAGAAGGCAUUAUCACAGUUCGUGUUUCAAAGGUUCUCGAAAAGUGGUG
rnacentral:lncRNA from 1 species